UACGAAGGGGGGCUAGCGUUGCUCGGAAUCACUGGGCGUAAAGGGCGCGUAGGCGGCGCAACAAGUCACUUGUGAAAUCUCCGGGCUUAACCUGGGAAUUGCGUCCGAAAACUAUGGAGCUGGAGUGUGGCAGAGGGAGGUGGAAUUCCACGUGUAGCGGUGAAAUGCGUAGAGAUGUGGAGGAACACCGAUUGCGAAGGCAGCUCGCUGGAACGUUACUGACGCUGAGACGCGAAAGCGUGGGGAGCAA
rnacentral:rRNA from 1 species